rnacentral:rRNA from 1 species
GACGAACGCUGGCGGCGUGCUUAACACAUGCAAGUCGAACGAUGAAGCGGUGCUUGCACCGUGGAUUAGUGGCGAACGGGUGAGUAAUACGUGAGUGACCUACCUUUGACUCUGGGAUAAGCCUGGGAAACUGGGUCUAAUACCGGAUACGACCAAUCUCUGCAUGGGGUGUUGGUGGAAAGCGUUAUGGAGUGGUUUUAGAUGGGCUCACGGCCUAUCAGCUUGUUGGUGAGGUAAUGGCUUACCAAGGCGACGACGGGUAGCCGGCCUGAGAGGGUGACCGGCCACACUGGGACUGAGACACAGCCCAGACUCCUACGGGAGGCAGCAGUGGGGAAUAUUGCACAAUGGGCGCAAGCAUGAUGCAGCGACGCCGCGUGAGGGAUGACGGCCUUCGGGUUGUAAACCUCUGUUAGCAUCGAAGAAGCGAAAGUGACGGUAGGUGCAGAGAAAGCGCCGGCUAACUACGU